GACCCUUUGAUAGUGUCUGACAAUGAGUUAGUUAGGUUUAUAUUUAUUUUAGAAAGAGACUAUCUGCCCAUGUGAGAACCAAUCAGGUUAUACAUAUAAGGCAAUAUGGCGUCACAAUAACGCAGCAAAUCCGCUAAAAAUGUCAAACUUUACACGCUUAUAACCUUUUAACCAUUGGAUUCCUAAAGUUAAAACUAGCAUUUUCAGAUUCUACGCAAAAAAACCUAUAAAUCUAAAAAAAAAAGGUCCAAAAUUUUGGGUCCGAUAAAGUAAAGUUUUACCUCAAUGACACAUUUCCUCUAGAGAAAAAAAGCAUGAAGAUAUUGUAGCGAUAUUACAGAUUGUAAGAACACAACUAUUCUACAUAAACUUGUAGAAAUAUAAAUAUUAACCAAAAUAUUAAGUAAAAUAAGGAUGGAGAAUAACGUUAUACCCUUAACUAAUCCUUGGGAUUCUUUAUCUACGGUAACAAGAUUUGACAGAGGCAAUGGUGCAAAAACUACAGUAUGUUUGAAUAAUGAUAGCAAUCAAAAUAAUGGACAACUUGUAAGCAGAGUUACACCUUCUACCAGUUUGUUAAUCGAGUCACUUAUACAACAGCUUUGUGUGCUAUUCGAAGGUGAUAAUUUGGUUCGCAGAAACAAAUUAUAUUUUGCUAUUUGUGAUAGGCUUCACGAAUUGAAGUUAAUUGAUAGUUCAUACAAUAUGAUGGAAUUUGAAACAUUGAGAAGUCAGUAUCAACGUGCAUUGUAUCAUUUAGUCACAGUUGCACGUGCAGCAACUGGUUGUGAAAGUAUACUGCAGGUUCCUAGUUCAUUAAUACCAGAAUGGUCCCGGUAUCACAGAGAGUUUCAAGAAAUAGGUUUUAUUGCUGCUGGUGGGUUUGGAAAUGUUUUCAAAGCCUUGCAUCGUCUUGAUGGCAUCGAAUAUGCUAUCAAAAAAAUAAUAGUACGUUCUGGACGAGUUAAAAGUAUCAUGCAGCAUCUUGAAGAAGUAAAAACGUUGGCCAAAUUAAAUCAUACCAAUAUAGUUUCGUAUAAAGGUGCCUGGAUUGAAUCAACGCUAUCUUCAACUUUUAUACCAAGUUUAUUAUCUCCAAAUCAUUUUCAAAGCAAAUCAAGUUCUUCAAAUCACAGAAGAAAGAGCAGAUAUAAAUUGUAUAGAAGUCAAUCUUCUAGUACACAGAAUCAGUUAAGUCCUAACAGUAAUUGUAGUGGUCAAAGUCCAAAAAAAAGUGAUGAAGAUAUAUUUUUACAACAAAAUAAAAACGCAAAUUGUAAAUUUGGGGAGCAAUUAAAUGAUGGAAAUGUUACAGAAGAAAAUAUUGAUAGAAAUAAUUCAAAUAGUAUAUCUUUCAGAAAUGAUAGCAAGAAUCAAGAUAAGAAAACAGAAAAUAAUACAAAUUAUACAGAUGGUACUGAUUCGUAUGAAGAAACUAGUAGCAAUAAAAUACUUUAUCCAUAUGUAUCUCAAAUGAACGAACAAUACGCAACAUUGUAUAUACAAAUGGCACUCUGUGAGAAAACUCUUCAACAAUGGCUCGACGAAAGAGUAGAGAUGACAUCACAAACAAUGAUUAUUGCAAUAUUGACGCAAAUUCUGUGUGGCGUAGAUUAUAUACAUUCUCGUGGAAUUGUGCAUCACGACAUAAAGCCGAGCAAUAUAUUUAUUUCAAUGUCAGGUCGACUGCAAAUACAACUAGGAGAUUUUGGUUUAGCUUGUCCAUUGCAAAGGGAAAAUCAUCGUUCUAUACUUGGUACACAUAUGUACGCUGCACCAGAACAACUACAGGGGAAAUGUAAUCCUAAAAGCGACAUAUACAGUCUAGGAAUAGUACUUCUAGAACUAUUAGUACAUACAAAAACUUACAUGGAGAGGAUUGAAGUAAUUAAUGGCUUAAAGCGAGGUCAAAUACCAACAACAUUGACUGCUACUUAUCCUAAAUGGGCACAUAUAGUAAGCCAGUUAGUUCAAACCGAUCCUGAGAAGCGGCCAUCAACGAGUCAAUUGUUACAAAACUUAAAUGAAGACAAAGAUAUAACGAUAGCACAGUUAAGAAAUGAUAUUGCUGAAAAAGAUGAGACAAUAAAUAAAUUACAAGAAAGGAUAUCGUUGUUAGAAAGACAAAUAGUUAAAUUUAAUAUACCGAUUAAGGAUACAUAAACGCUCCUUAUAAUUGAAUUGAAAGAAGACAAUCUUUUAGAAGAAGUAUAUCUCGUAUUAUUUUUUCAAUAAUGAGCAAUAAAAUGAGGUAUAUCAUGUAGGAGACCACCAGUUAAUACACUAUUGUUUGUAUUUAGUGACAAUAGUAUCUGCAAAUAUAAUAUUUCGUUUAAAAAUUGAAAAUAGAAAAUUAAGGUGUUCUGUUUCAAAACAUUUAGUUAUUUCUUGUAACAAAUUUAUAUAAAUGGUAUAUCAUAGCAA